rnacentral:rRNA from 1 species
UGGGAAUUUUGGACAAUGGGGGCAACCUGAUCCAGCAAUGCCGCGUGUGUGAAGAAGGCCUUCGGGUUGUAAAGCACUUUUGUCCGGAAAGAAAACGUCGUGGUUAAUACCCGUGGCGGCUGACGGUACCGGAAGAAUAAGCACCGGCUAACUACGUGCCAGCAGCCGCGGUAAUACGUAGGGUGCAAGCGUUAAUCGGAAUUACUGGGCGUAAAGCGUGCGCAGGCGGUCCGCUAAGACAGAUGUGAAAUCCCCGGGCUUAACCUGGGAACUGCAUUUGUGACUGGCGGGCUAGAGUAUGGCAGAGGGGGGUAGAAUUCCACGUGUAGCAGUGAAAUGCGUAGAGAUGUGGAGAAUACCGAUGGCGAAGGCAGCCCCCUGGGCCAAUACUGACGCUCAUGCACGAAAGCGUGGGGAGCAAACAGGAUUAGAUACCCUGGUAGUCCACGCCCUAAACGAUGUCAACUA